rnacentral:sRNA from 1 species
AGCCAGUCCCAACUAAAUGUUGACCUUGUAAGAGUUGCCUGGUCAUGGUGUCUCACAUUCACUGCCAGCCGGAUCUACCUGAGCUGGGGACUGAACCCAGGGCCUUGUACUUGCUAGAAGAGGCUGUACAUCUCUAAGGACAAGAGUUACAAGCGGUUGUGAUUCUGUGUGGGUGCUGAGAAUUGAACCCAGAUAUAUUCCCAAAGAGCAGCCUGUACUGACCAGAGAGCUCUGGGCAGAAGUUGAUCAUCAGAAAAUAAAGGGCACUGGGCCAAAGAGCCAAAGGGCAGGCAAGUUGGAAGUGUUUUGUUUUGUCUUGAGACUGGCUCUCAUGCAGCCUAGGCUGCCUUCAAAACUGCUCUGUAGCUAAGACCGUGACCUAGGAAUUCCUCUGCUUCCGUUUCUUAAGUACUGAGAUUAUAGGCAAGUGCCACCAUACCCGCUUCGAUUUGGUGAUGGACCUAACAUAAGCAGUCUCAGUUCUAGGCAGUUUUCGAUUUUUAAACACUCGCGCGUGCACACACACAAACACACACACACACACACACACACACA